rnacentral:rRNA from 1 species
AACGAACGCUGGCGGCAUGCCUAACACAUGCAAGUCGAACGAGACCUUCGGGUCUAGUGGCGCACGGGUGCGUAACGCGUGGGAACCUGCCCUUAGGUUCGGAAUAACUCCCCGAAAGGGGUGCUAAUACCGGAUAAUGUCUUCGGACCAAAGAUUUAUCGCCUUUGGAUGGGCCCGCGUUGGAUUAGCUAGUUGGUAGGGUAAAAGCCUACCAAGGCGACGAUCCAUAGCUGGUCUGAGAGGAUGAUCAGCCACACUGGGACUGAGACACGGCCCAGACUCCUACGGGAGGCAGCAGUGGGGAAUAUUGGACGAUGGGCGAAAGCCUGAUCCAGCAAUGCCGCGUGAGUGAUGAAGGCCUUAGGGUUGUAAAGCUCUUUUACCCGGGAUGAUAAUGACAGUACCGGGAGAAUAAACUCCGGCUAACUCCGU